GUUGGUCCUGAAUAAGAGACUAUAAACUUGAUUCCGGAACUUUACUAGAAUUUCUUGAUUUAUGACAAACCUUUUUUUUUCAAAUGGUAUAGAAAGUAAAAAAAAAAAGCAGAAAGAUAAAUCAGGACCAAAAAAGAAAACAAAAUACAUCAAAGCAACUAACGUAUUUGUAAGCAUGUCCUCCGUAACGACCUGUUGGCAGGUUUCUUGAACAAUAAUAAACUUAAGACAAUAACAAAAUUGGUGGUAACC
rnacentral:lncRNA from 1 species